UGGUGUGAGGGCGAUCUGGCUGCGACAUCUGUCACCCCACUGAUCGCCAGAGUUGAUUUGGCUGAUCUGGCUGGCUAGGCGGGUGUCCCCUUCCUCCCUCACCGCUCCAUGUGCGUCCCUCCCGAAGCUGCGCGCUCGGUCGAAGAGGACGACCAUCCCCGAUAGAGGAGAGGACCGUUCUUCAGUCAAGGGUAUAUGAGUAGCUGCGCUCCCCUGCUAGAACCUCCAAACAAGCUCUCAAGGUCCUUGCAAACUUUUUCUUGUGAUUGAGUUCCAGUUUCAAAGCAGUGUAGUCUGAGAAUAUGCAGGGAAUAAUCUCAGUCUUU
rnacentral:snRNA from 1 species